UACGUAGGGUGCAAGCGUUAAUCGGAAUUACUGGGCGUAAAGCGUGCGCAGGCGGUGAUGUAAGACAGGUGUGAAAUCCCCGGGCUUAACCUGGGAACUGCAUUUGUGACUGCAUCGCUGGAGUGCGGCAGAGGGGGAUGGAAUUCCGCGUGUAGCAGUGAAAUGCGUAGAUAUGCGGAGGAACACCGAUGGCGAAGGCAAUCCCCUGGGCCUGCACUGACGCUCAUGCACGAAAGCGCGGGGAGCAAACAGG
rnacentral:rRNA from 1 species